UACGGAGGGUGCGAGCGUUGUCCGGAAUCAUUGGGCGUAAAGGGCGCGUAGGUGGCCCGGUCAGUCUUUGGUGAAAGCGCGGGGCUCAACCCUGCGUCGGCCAGGGAUACUGCCGCGGCUCGAGCACUGUAGAGGCAGGCGGAAUUCCGGGUGUAGCGGUGGAAUGCGCAGAUAUCAGGAGGAACACCGGUGGCGAAGGCGGUUCUCUGGGCCUGUACUGACGCUGAGGAACGAAAGCGUGGGGAGCGAACAGG
rnacentral:rRNA from 1 species